UAGGGAAUCUUCCACAAUGGACGCAAGUCUGAUGGAGCAACACCGCGUGAGUGAAGAAGGGUUUCGGCUCGUAAAGCUCUGUUGUUAGAGAAGAACAUGCAGGAGAGUAACUGUUCUUGUAUUGACGGUAUCUAACCAGAAAGCCACGGCUAACUACGUGCAAG
rnacentral:rRNA from 1 species